rnacentral:rRNA from 1 species
UACGUAGGGGGCAAGCGUUAUCCGGAUUUAUUGGGCGUAAAGAGCUCGUAGGCGGUCUGUCGCGUCGGAUGUGAAAAUCCAGGGCUCAACCCUGGACCUGCAUUCGAUACGGGCAGACUAGAGUUCGGUAGGGGGAGACUGGAAUUCCUGGUGUAGCGGUGAAAUGCGCAGAUAUCAGGAGGAACACCGGUGGCGAAGGCGGGUCUCUGGGCCGUAACUGACGCUGAGGAGCGAAAGCGUGGGGGAGCGAACAGG